UACGGGGGGAGCAAGCGUUGUUCGGAUUUACUGGGCGUAAAGGGCGCGUAGGCGGCCACUGCAAGUCGGUUGUGAAAUCUCCGGGCUUAACCCGGAAAGGUCAAUCGAUACUGCAGGGCUAGAGUGCAGAAGGGGCAACUGGAAUUCUCGGUGUAGCGGUGAAAUGCGUAGAUAUCGAGAGGAACACCUGCGGCGAAGGCGGGUUGCUGGGCUGACACUGACGCUGAGACGCGAAAGCGUGGGGAGCGAACAGG
rnacentral:rRNA from 1 species